CCCUGUCAGGGGGACAACCCGCCGAAAGGCGGGCUAAACCCGCGUACAUGCCACCGGGGCAUCCCGGAGGCAGGAAAGGCUUCGGCCGGACAGGGAUGGGCAUGCGGCGCAUUAGGCAGUAGGCGGGGUAACGGCCCACCUAACCGACGAUGCGUAGGGGUUCUGAGAGGAAGGUCCCCCACACUGGUACUGAGACACGGACCAGACUCCUACGGAAGGCAGCAG
rnacentral:rRNA from 1 species